rnacentral:misc_RNA from 1 species
CAACCUUAUCCAAUUAAGGGGGAAAUUAUUACCAAUGUUGAUUUUAUUAGAAAGAGAAAACCGUCCAGUGAUAUGAACGUGAUAGUGGAUCAGAAGAUAUAUACUUGUGAGUUUGUUCAAUGUCCUUACAGCCAACUUCGACUGGCUUUCCAUGACAGGACUUCUAGGGACAAUCAUCAAUUAACUUGUCCAUACAGAAGCUCUUCUCUAGAGUUUGCAGGAUCGAAUUUUCAUGUUAAUGAAGUGAAGCCUAUGAUUUUUU